rnacentral:rRNA from 1 species
CCUACGGGUGGCAGCAGUGAGGAAUAUUGGUCAAUGGACGAGAGUCUGAACCAGCCAAGUAGCGUGAAGGAUGACUGCCCUAUGGGUUGUAAACUUCUUUUAUAUGGGAAUAAAACGUUCCACGUGUGGGAUUUUGUAUGUACCAUAUGAAUAAGGAUCGGCUAAAUCCGUGCCAGCAGCCGCGGUAAUACGGAGGAUGCGAGCGUUAUCCGGAUUUAUUGGGUUUAAAGGGAGCGUAGGUGGAUUGUUAAGUCAGUUGGUAAAGUUGGCGGCUGAACCGUAAAAUUGCAGUUGAAACUGGGAGUCUUGAGUACAGUAGAGGUGCACGGAAUUCGUGGUGUAGCGGUGAAAUGCUUAGAUAUCACGAAGAACUCCGAUUGCGAAGGCAGUUCACUGGACUGAAACUGACACUGAGGCUCGAAAGUGUGGGUAUCAAACAGGAUUAGAUACCCCAGUAGUC